rnacentral:rRNA from 1 species
GUAGAAUCUACCAAAAGGACUGGGACAACCACUGGAAACGGUGGCUAAUACCGGAUGAGCCGAAAAGUAAAAAGGGAAACCUGCCUUUUGAAGAGCUCGCGUCUGAUUAGCUAGUUGGUGAGGUAAGAGCUCACCAAGGCAGCGAUCAGUAGCUGGUCUGAGAGGAUGACCAGCCACACUGGGACUGAGACACGGCCCAGACUCCUACGGGAGGCAGCAGUGGGGAAUUUUCCGCAAUGGGCGAAAGCCUGACGGAGCAAGACCGCGUGAGGGAAGAAGGCUCUUGGGUCGUAAACCUCUUUUAUCAGGGAAGAAAAAAAUGACGGUACCUGAAGAAUCAGCCUCGGCUAACUCCGUGCCAGCAGCCGCGGUAAUACGGAGGAGGCAAGCGUUAUCCGGAAUUAUUGGGCGUAAAGCGUCCGCAGGUGGCUUAUCAAGUCUGCUGUCAAAGAGUGGGGCUUAACCCCAUAAAGGCAGUGGAAACUGGCAAGCUAGAGUGCCGUAGGGGUAGAGGGAAUUCCCGGUGUAGCGGUGAAAUGCGUAGAGAUCGGGAAGAACAUCGGUGGCGAAAGCGCUCUACUGGACGGCAACUGACACUCAGGGACGAAAGCUAGGGGAGCGAAAGGGAUUAGAUACCCUGUAGUCA